rnacentral:antisense_RNA from 1 species
CUUGAUCGAGCCGAGCAGCAGCGGCCGGUCGGCGGGCCGGUCCUGGCCGUAGGUGGCCAGCAGCGCCUGCGCCUC